GUGCCAGCCGCCGCGGUAAUACGGAGGGUGCAAGCGUUAAUCGGAAUUACUGGGCGUAAAGCGCACGCAGGCGGUCUGUCAAGUCGGAUGUGAAAUCCCCGGGCUCAACCUGGGAACUGCAUCCGAAACUGGCAGGCUAGAGUCUUGUAGAGGGGGGUAGAAUUCCAGGUGUAGCGGUGAAAUGCGUAGAGAUCUGGAGGAAUACCGGUGGCGAAGGCGGCCCCCUGGACAAAGACUGACGCUCAGGUGCGAAAGCGUGGGGAGCAAACAGGAUUAGAUACCCUGGUAGUCCACGCCGUAAACGAUGUCGACUUGGAGGUUGUGCCCUUGAGGCGUGGCUUCCGGAGCUAACGCGUUAAGUCGACCGCCUGGGGAGUACGGCCGCAAGGUUAAAACUCAAAUGAAUUGACGGGGGCCCGCACAAGCGGUGGAGCAUGUGGUUUAAUUCGAUGCAACGCGAAGAACCUUACCUACUCUUGACAUCCAGAGAACUUAGCAGAGAUGCUUUGGUGCCUUCGGGAACUCUGAGACAGGUGCUGCAUGGCUGUCGUCAGCUCGUGUUGUGAAAUGUUGGGUUAAGUCCGCAACGAGCGCAACCCUUAUCUUGUUGCCAGCGGUCCGGCCGGAACUCAAAGAGACUGCCAGUGAUA
rnacentral:rRNA from 1 species